UGAUGGGUCUGUGCGAGAGGCUGUGUGAUUAAAUCGAGCAGGGCCGGACCUUGCUUUCAUCAUCAGCACAAAGCCAUCUGUUUGGCUGCCACUUUAGCCCCUCCUCUUUGUGAAGCAGCCUGCUCGCUCGCUCACAAGGGGGAGAUGGGAGUUGGGGAAAAGACUGCUUUUUGCUAGUUACAUUCUGCCUGCAAGGGCCUCCCCUUCAGAGUAGAACUUUUUCUACUGCAGCAAAUAGCAGAAUUUUUUUUUCUUUGCUUUUAUUUAACCCCUUUUAUUUUUCCAUGGACUGAAUUUUAUGUUUGUUGAACCCUUUCGAAAUUCUGCUUCUUCAUUUCUUCUCUGAGCUGUGGGGAUUUCUGGUUGAGCCCAUUUAUCAGAGAAAUAGAUUUUUUACUUCGGGCAUGUUCCCCAUUUUAUUCCGAAUGUGACGCACUUGUCCGCCGCCAUUUUUUUUUUUGGCGGUUUCCAAUGCGCCAAUUGCGAAGCGGAUCGAUCAUUUUAUUUCCCUGUAUUUUAUUUUUGGUAUCUCUAUUUGCAGUAUUGGGGUGGGGGGUUUGUUUUUGUAUCCCCCCCCCAUCGCUAUGUGUUUUUGGAAUGGGAGGGAAAUGGCGUGUGCACUGCCUGGGAUAGGUGCCAGCGUGAAAACAAAAGACAUAAAAUAGGCGGCAAACAUGGAAAAUGGCAGUGCACACGCAAAAAAAAAAAAAACCGCAAUCAAGGAGUGGUGGUGCACUGCGUUCCCAGGGUCCGAGAUGUCAAGGUGUCCAGAAAUCGUUUUCCAAUUCCGGGGGCUGCAAGGUGAAGCUUCUCUCUCCCGUUCCUCCGUCUCUAGGUGCCCAAGGCUGCUUCCCACCUCCUGCAGGGUGAGAAUGGUUUCUGGGUCUCCUGUUGCACAACUGAAAGAGUGUGGUGAAAAUAUAGCACAUUUCCCAGCAUUCCCUGUGGCAGAUGCCUCGUGAGCCCUGGCACAAUUACUUGGCAAUGCGUGAGAUUUGUCCUCUGCUCCUUUUAUUGGCUGCCUGUGGAGUUUGCACAAUCCCAAGAUCACAAUGGGAAUUCCCAAUAACUAUCAAGGAUAAGGACGGAUGGAACUAUCCCUUUAAGAACUCCAAAGGGAUCAACCUUUAAGAGAUUCCUGCCCUCAAAUUAGUUUGGCAGCUAUCGCUUUAAGAGACGUGGUGAUGCCCACCCUUAAGGAUAUCUGGGAUUUAACUGGGAAGAUUUGGCAUUGGUGUAACAUCAUUCUCCUUAUUGUGUCUUCCCUAUAGUAGUGACCCCCGGGAUCCUCCUCACCACUGGAGAGACGCCAGGCUUGAGAUUAACCCUUCAGAUGCUGCAGCCGUGGGGACAGAGAGAUCAAACAGACCCAGAAAUGACAGUCACGUUGCACAGUAAGUACUGAAACUGCCGCUUCUUAUCUGCAAAUCAUGUGGCGCCUUCAUCUCUGCUGAACUGACACUGCUAGAAUCUCAGCUGCCAUAAAGCAGGACAGGACUGCUGCUUCCAAUGGGGAUCAGAUAGGAUCUGUGCAGCCA